AAACAAUUGUCCAGCAUGGAAACUCUGGGGGAAAAUCAUCCAACUCUUUACCAUACUCAUCCAUCAACAACGCUGAUCUAGAUGGAGCAAAGGAAACUGAUGCUUCGAUGCCUAUAUUCCCAGCCUCAUCAUGUAAACACAGACAUUCCCAAGCCGGAACAACAGGACUCUCUCCUCCUAGCAGGUGUUCUGGGGAAAUGUGGAGCUUGUGGAUCAAAAGAACACAGGAAACUAGUGGGGAAAGAGAUGGAAAGGGAUCAACAGAAAAGAUGUGAAUAAGAAUGAAGAGGACUGUACCCCCACCUGCAUGUCACUCCAACACCCUGCUGCUCAGUCCUGCCAAUGGACCUCCAAGGGCCUGGCUGCCACCUGCUGCCCUGCACCACCCUCCCCAACCUCAGGGGGCCUUCCACCUGGUACCCUAAACUCCACACUGGCCUCUCCAUGCUAGUUGAUAUGGUUUGGCUGUGUCCCCACCCAAAUCUCACCUUGAAUUGUAAUAAUCUCCACAUGUCAAGGGUGGGGCCAGAUGGAGAUAAUUGAAUCAUGUGGGUGGUUCCCCCCUACUGUUUUCAUGGUAGUAAGUCUCACGAUAUUGGAUGGUUUUAUAAAUGGGAGUUUCCCUGCACAAGCUCUCUCUUGCCUGCUGCCAUGUAAGACAUGCCUUUGCUUCUCCUUUGCCUUCCGCCAUGAUUGUGAG
rnacentral:lncRNA from 1 species